AUAUUUUCGACUAAUAAAUUGUUGUAAUACCACGAUUUGGGUGGAAAAAAGGUUUUGAAAUCAUUUUGGUCAUUCAAAUCAAAUGAGAUCGAAAUGAGUAUUGUUUUGAAGACCUGGUUUGUGAGUGUUACAAUAUCAAAUUCCAACCACAAACCGUAUUUAAAGGAAAGUUGUUGGUAUUGGCUGAACAAGUCCGAGAUGUAGAAGAAUUAAGAACAAAACAAGGGCAGAGGUCAAUAAUUCACGCUCUCAUCAUAAGGCAAACAUCUGUGCACAACAACUACUGUGACUCAUUUUUGUACUACCACGUUGUAUAGUCUAGUUAUUUCCAAAUUGUAAACGGCUAUUAAACCAGACCUAUCGAAAUACA